rnacentral:rRNA from 1 species
GACGAACGCUGGCGGCGUGCUUAACACAUGCAAGUCGAACGGAAAGGCCCUGCUUUUGUGGGGUGCUCGAGUGGCGAACGGGUGAGUAACACGUGAGUAACCUGCCCUUGACUUUGGGAUAACUUCAGGAAACUGGGGCUAAUACCGGAUAGGAGCUCCUGCUGCAUGGUGUGGGUUGGAAAGUUUCGGCGGUUGGGGAUGGACUCGCGGCUUAUCAGCUUGUUGGUGGGGUAGUGGCUUACCAAGGCUUUGACGGGUAGCCGGCCUGAGAGGGUGACCGGCCACAUUGGGACUGAGAUACGGCCCAGACUCAUACGGGAGGCAGCAGUGGGGAAUAUUGCACAAUGGGCGGAGGCCUGAUGCAGCAACGCCGCGUGCGGGAUGACGGCCUUCGGGUUGUAAACCGCUUUCGCCUGUGACGAAGCGUGAGUGACGGUAAUGGGUAAAGAAGCACCGGCUAACUACGUG